AAGAAAUCUAGCUCCUUUUCAGCAACAUGUGAGAGAGAAUGAACACAAGUAAACUUUAAUGUCACCAUAGAGAAUAAGACAUAGAUAAGGGGUCUCCGGGAUCCGGGAGAAGAUUGGUUGCUAAUUACACAGAACCUGGAAAGAGGGCACAGAAGGGAGACCAAAGAACAAUGAUGUUUCGCUCCAGUGAUCACUUAUAGGAGGAAGAUCUGCUGCUGCUGCAAAGUUCUGAGUGGCCAUGAAUUGCAACAUAAUGACAAGCUGUAAAAAUAUCAUGAGACAAGAGUCAUCUGAUUUGUUAUUGUAUCCUUUUGUGUUAAAAGGAAGAAUGAAGAGCAUUCUCUGGGUAUGUCUACACUGCAAUGUAAGCCUGGACUCAGCCUCCAGCCUAACACUCCUUCUGUCUAUUAAAGUAGCACUAACACAGGGCUUGGACCCAGGGCCCCAGAAGCCUGCGGGGCUGCAGGGUCUGAGCACAAGUCAAGUCUUAACCGAGGGUUCAAGCUCUAUUGCUUUGCAGUGCAGAAUAGCCUCGCUUGACCUGGACCUAGGAGUCCUCCAAAAAGUAUCCCACAAUCCCGUGGGCCAACUUCCUUUGUCCUCUCUAUCCCAAGAAUCUUGAAUCUACUCUAUUGAAAACAGAAGCAACCACCCUUGGUGUACUGCAGCAACUCAGUUAGUUAGCAUUAACCCUUCCAUUGUCUUCUGACCACCGAGCUGCAAACACACCAUCAGAGAGCCUUCAGUGUUUGCAAUGAAGACUGAACAGAACAAGCCUUUUGCAAAGCACACUACUUUGUGGUCAUGGGGACACACCCUGAUUUUGGUAAAUCUCUGAUGCAAGGCCAGCAAAACUGUGGACUUAAGUAAGAGUACCAGGAAUGACUACGCAUAUUAAUAAAUAGUGAAGAAGCUGGCAGCUUUGCAAAUUUACACAACCAGUACCCAGUGCAAGGGAGUGGUUUAAAUGGCUCAAGAGUGAGUACCAGAAACUCAGGGAACAGAACCACACCUCAGGCAACUCGCCAAAAUCAUGUGUGUUAUGAGAAGUCUGGUUGCUGAGCACUGCGCUGAGCAUGGAGCCAACAGUGGUACAUGAUGACCUGGUCAGCCAGGAUGAGGCUCCACUGUCUUCAGAAUCCACCAUAGGGACUGAUGGGAACCUGCAGCAGUCUCCAAGUGGGGACAAUGAAGUCACUCUGUUGCUGAGACCUGUUCCAGAGCAGACUUUGGAGCAGGAGCAGGAGCAGCAGCAGCACAUUCUGGGUCUGUACUCAUACGGGCUGAUGCACUCCCCAAGGAGCAGCCCAUGGCGGAGCCUGCAGCAGACACACAUGGGAUCAAAGCUGUUCCUAAGCCCCAGGAAGUUUCUGGCUCCAUUUUAAUGUUUAUUAAUACAGUAAUGUGGCCAAUGCAAAAGUUAUGAAAACCCCAGCUAGCAGCCUGUAUCUGCUAGUGGCGGAUUAUAUGCCAGCAGUAUGGCUCUUCCACCCAACCACCGCCACCACGUGGAGUUCAAAAUGGCGACCAGGACAUGCAAACAGCAAAGAACAACUUUAAAGUAUUUUUACUGGAAAGGCACAGAUUUUUGCUAGGCCAUUCCUAUUUCUUAAAAACAAUAACCUUACAUUGCCAUGCCAGGAAGUACGCCACUCUGUAACCAUUCUACAGUCUAUCGAGCUGCCUGGAAACAGUGAACUCUGUGAGUGUUUGGGGAAAUGUGUUCCAUUCACAAAUCUAGUCCAUUGUAGUCAGUGCAGUCCAUUGAUGGCAAUUUUUUCCCCCCAAAUAUGACUGCGGUUUGAA